AGGGCGUACGGUGGAUGCCUUGGUGCCAGAGGGCGAAGAAGGACGUAGCGAGCUACGAAAAGCCACGGGUAGCCGCAAGCAGGCUUUGAUCCGUGGAUUUCCGAAUGGGGUAACCCACUGCGAGUCAUGUCGCAGUACCCAUACCUGAAUAAAAUAGGGUAUGCGGAGCUAAACCCUGGGGAAUUGAAACAUCUUAGUACCCGGAGGAAGAGAAAGCAACCGCGAUUUCCCAAGUAGCGGCGAGCGAACGGGAAACAGCCUAAACCAUAUUUGUGUGAUAGCCUGCCGGCGUUGCAGAUAUGGGGUCGCGGGACACUUCGAUGUUUUCGGCAGAAAACGGCAGCGGAAGUUAUUUUGUUAGCCGAACGGACUGGAAAGUCCGGCCAUAGCAGGUAAAAGCCCUGUAGGCGAAAAUGAGAUAACAGCUGUGAAGUGAUCCCAAGUAGCACGGGACACGUGAGACCCCGUGUGAAUCAGGGAGGCCCACCUCCUAAGGCUAAAUACCAACUGGCAACCGAUAGUGAACUAGUACCGUGAGGGAAAGGUGAAAAGCACCCCGGAAGGGGAGUGAAAUAGAACCUGAAACCGUACGCUUACAAACAGUAAUAGCACAAUACGGAGGUCAGAGGUCAGAGGUCAGAGUGCCAGAAUGCAUGUCAUUCAAGGCGGCAUAAUGAACGAGACAUCUGAUAAUCAUUUGUUGGUGUUCAGAGUGCCAGAAAGUAUAUCUUUCAAUCCGGUACUCCGAUUUCCGACCUCUGACUUCCGGAAGUGUGAUUGCGUACUUUUUGUAGAACGGGCCGGCGAGUUACGUUUUGUAGCAAGGUUAAGCGGUUAAGCCGCGGAGCCGUAGCGAAAGCGAGUCUGAAUAGGGCGAAUUAGUUGCAGGACGUAGACCCGAAACCGAGUGAUCUACCCAUGGCCAGGGUGAAGCUUGUCUAAACGCAAGUGGAGGCCCGGACCCACCAAUGUUGAAAAAUUGGGGGAUGAGCUGUGGGUAGUGGUGAAAUGCCAAUCGAACUCGGAGAUAGCUGGUUCUCCCCGAAAUAGCUUUAGGGCUAGCGUCAGAUGAUGAGUCAUGGAGGUAGAGCACUAUUUGGGCUAGGGGCUAAAACCUAGUUACCGAACUCAGAUAAACUCCGAAUGCCAUAGACUUUAAUCUGGCAGUCAGACUGCGGGAGCUAAGUUUCGUAGUCAAGAGGGAAACAGCCCAGACCGUCAGCUAAGGUCCCAAAGUACAGGCUAAGUGGAAAAGGAUGUGGGAUUGCUUUGACAACCAGGAUGUUGGCUUAGAAGCAGCCACCAUUUAAAGAGUGCGUAAUAGCUCACUGGUCAAGUGAUUCUGCGCCGAAAAUGUAACGGGGCUAAGCCUGUCACCGAAGCUACGGCUUACUGGAGGUUAGAUGUUGGAAGUUGGAAAUUGGAGGUGAAUGAUGGUGAUUCAGAGCUACCAAGAUUUGGACGUUUACAAACGGUCCUACCAGUUAGCCUUGGAUGUACACCGAAUCUCAUUCACAUUACCGCAAAGUGAGCGAUAUGAGCUUAGCAGCCAAAUUCGCCGCGCAGCGGUAAGCAUUCCACUCAACAUUGCAGAAGGUUAUGGAAGGAAGGAUUCGCAAGCAGAGUUUAAGCACUUUCUAAGAAAUAGCUUAGGCUCCUGUAACGAAGUUCAGGUGCUUCUAGAUAUGCUUAAAGACUUAGGCUAUAUCCAGGAAGAUAUACACCAAUCUUUCAAAGAGGAGUACACCAUUCUCGGCAAACAGCUAAACAAGCUCAUGCAGAAAUGGCGUACAAUCCAACCUCUAACUUCUAACAUCUAGCCUCCAGUAGGGGUAGGGGAGCGUUCUGGACAGCGUAGAAGCUGUACUGAGAAGAGCAGUGGAGCGUCCAGAAGAGCGAAUGCCGGCAUGAGUAACGAAAAGGCAAGUGAGAAUCUUGCCCGCCGAAAGCCUAAGGUUUCCUGAGGAAGGCUCGUCCUCUCAGGGUUAGUCGGGCCCUAAGCCGAGGCAGAAAUGCGUAGGCGAUGGACAACGGGUUGAUAUUCCCGUACCACCUCACGUCCGUUACCAGCAAUGGGGUGACGCAGAAGGGUAGGCACAGCGCACCGUUGGUUGUGUGCGUUCAAGCGUUUAGGGAGUGCGGAUAGGCAAAUCCGUCCGCACAAUUCUGAGGCGUGAUGAGGAGCGAAAUUAUAGUAGCGAACUGGCUGAUCCCAUGCUGCCAAGAAAAGCCUCUAGCGAGGAUGUAGGUGCUCGUACCGCAAACCGACACAGGUAGGCGAGGAGAAAAUCCUAAGGCGCGCGGAAGAACCUUCGUUAAGGAACUCGGCAAAUUGACCCCGUAACUUCGGGAUAAGGGGUGCCCCGCCAGGGUGAGAUCUAACAAUCUUGCCUGAGGGGGCCGCAGAGAAUAGGCCCAAGCGACUGUUUAGCAAAAACACAGGUCUCUGCGAAGUCGCAAGACGACGUAUAGGGGCUGACGCCUGCCCGGUGCUGGAAGG
rnacentral:rRNA from 1 species